rnacentral:rRNA from 15 species
CAGCCACACUGGGACUGAGACACGGCCCAGACUCCCUUGGGAGGCAGCAGUGAGGAAUUUUCCGCAAUGGGCAAAGGCCUGACGGAGCGAUACCGCGUGAGGGAAGAAGGAUUAUGGUUUGUAAACCUCUUUUUUCAAGAAAGAAACCAUGACGGUACUUGAGGAAUCAGCAUCGGCUAACUCCGUGCCAGCAGCCGCGGUAAUACGGGGGAUGCAAGCGUUAUCCGGAAUUAUUGGGCGUAAAGGGCCUGUAGGUUGCUUAUUAAGUUUGUAGUUAAAGACUAGGGCUCAACCUUAGAAAAGCUGUAAAUACUAAUUAGCUAGAGUAUGGAAGGGGUAGGGGGAAUUUCUAGUGUAGUAGUAAAAUGCUCUGAUAUUAGAAGGAACGCCAGAGGCGAAGGCGCUCUACUGGAACAUUACUGACACUAUAAGGCGAAAGCUAGGGGAGCGAAAGGGAUUAGGUACCCCUGUAGUCCUAGCCGUAAACGAUGAAUACUCAGAUUCGGAAAAGCGUAUCUUUUUCGGAUUUCAAGCUAACGCAUUAAGUAUUCCGCCUGGGGAGUACGCUCGCAAGUGUGAAACUCAAAGGAAUUGACGGGGGCCCACACAAGCGGUGGAGCAUGUGGUUUAAUUCGAUGAUACGCGAGGAACCUUACCAGGGCUUAAAUGUAGAGUGACAGGGGUAGAGAUACCUUUUUCUUCGGACACUUUACAAGGUGCUGCAUGGUUGUCGUCAGCUCGUGCUGUGAGGUGUCGGGUUAAGUCCCAUAACGAGCGCAACCCCUAUCCUUAGUUGCCAGCACGUCAUGGUGGGGACUCUAAGGAGACUGCCGGUGUCAAACCGGAGGAAGGUGGGGAUGACGUCAAGUCCUCAUGGCCCUUACGCCCAGGGUGGCAAACGUGCUACAAUGGCGUGUACAAAGCGAUGCAAUAUCGUGAGAUGGAGCAAAUCGCAAAAAGCACGCCCCAGUUCGGAUUGGAGUCUGCAACUCGACUCCAUGAAGCCGGAAUCGCUAGUAAUCGGAGAUCAGCCACGCUCCGGUGAAUACGUUCCUGAGCCUUGUACACACCGCCCGUCAAGUCAUGGAAGCCGGGAGUGCCCGAAGUCGCUCUGAUUCAGGAGUGCCCACGGCAAGUUCGGUAACUGGGACUAAGUCGUAACAAGGUAGCCGUAG